AGAGCGAACGCUGGCGGCAGGCCUAACACAUGCAAGUCGAGCGCCCGUAACAAUACGGGAGCGGCAGACGGGAUAGUAACACGUGGGAACGCGCCCUUCGGUUCGGAAUAACUCAGGGAAACUUGAGCUAAUACCGGAUACGCCCUUACGGGGAAAGAUUUAUUGCCGAAGGAACGGCCCGCGUCCGAUUAGCUAGUUGGUGAGGUAAUGGCUCACCAAGGCGACGAUCGGUAGCUGGUCUGAGAGGAUGACCAGCAUCACUGGGACUGAGACACGGCCCAGACUCCUACGGGAGGCAGCAGUGGGGAAUAUUGGACAAUGGGCGCAAGCCUGAUCCAGCCAUGCCGCGUGGAUGAUGAAGGCCUUAGGGUUGUAAAGUCCUUUUAACGGGGAGAUAAUGACGGUACCGUAGAAUAAGCCCCGGCUAACUUCGUGCCAGCAGCCGC
rnacentral:rRNA from 1 species